rnacentral:rRNA from 1 species
UACGAAGGGGGCUAGCGUUGUUCGGAAUCACUGGGCGUAAAGCGCACGUAGGCGGAUUGUUAAGUCGGGGGUGAAAUCCUGGGGCUCAACCCCAGAACUGCCCUCGAUACUGGCGAUCUUGAGUGUGGAAGAGGUUGGUGGAACUCCGAGUGUAGAGGUGAAAUUCGUAGAUAUUCGGAAGAACACCAGUGGCGAAGGCGGCCAACUGGUCCACUACUGACGCUGAGGUGCGAAAGCGUGGGGAGCAAACAGG